AUUUUUAGGUAAUUGCGGUUCAUCUUGAUGAGCUGAGGAAAGUCCAUGCUCACACAACCUGCGAUGGUUGUAGUGUUCGUGCUUAGCGAAAUCAUAAGCUAAGGCACUAUGUAAAUAGUGACGGCAGAGGAAUAGGCUAAGGAGAAAUCUAUGUCUUAGUACUCUAUAAAGUGCCAUAGAGACGAGUCAACUUUGAAAGAAGUUGAGUGGAACGCGGUAAACCCCUCGAGUGAGCAACCCAAAUUAUGGUAGGGGCGCUCUUUUUAGUAGGAAUUGAACGAAAGAAAGAGGCAGAAAUGUAGAUAGAUAAUUACCCAUUAUUUUUGUAACCUGGCAAAAAUAAGGACAGAACAUGGCUUAUAGAA
rnacentral:RNase_P_RNA from 2 species